GUGAUUCAUCAGAAUAAAUGAAUUGGUCUUUUUUUAUUUUAUUUAUUAAAAUCACUUGGGUAGUGAAUCUUUAAAACAUUUUGUCUCAACUUUUCUGUUCUAGAAUAUCUGGAACUGUUUGGAUGACGCAAGUGGGAAACUAUGGGACACAACUACAACUGGAAUGUGACGCUGGACCUUCACAGUAGUCAACAGAAGUUUGGAAGAUUUCUGCGUUCAGCUCUAGAUGUUCUCUCUUAGCGGAGGGAUGUCUAAAAUGCAUGAUCUGUUUGGUGGUGGCGUGGCGUCUGCUCCAGAACCAGCUGCCCCUCAGUGUGGACCUGCAGUGGGCUCUGUCCUGCCUGUGCUUGGCCCUGCAGCAGCCCUGCGUCUGGAACAAACUCUCAGCCGCGGUGUACGCCACGCACACCUGCUCCCUCAUCUACUCUCUACGCCUUACCAUCAUUGCAGGUGAGGGGGGUUUCAAGAAAAUGUUCAAGCAUUCCCUUGUAGCGGACUGACAUUAUGUGGGGUGCCAGUCAGAUCGGGGACUGAUCAUUUUAAUAGUCAGCGUCUGGUCAAACUAUACAAAUAUACAUGUGUAACAAUACUCAG